rnacentral:rRNA from 1 species
GAUGAACGUUGGCGGCAUGCUUAACACAUGCAAGUCGAACGCGAAGACGUUGUCUUCGAGUGGCGAACGGGUGCGUAACACGUAGGUAACUUGCCUGCAAGAGGGGGAUAACCAUUGGAAACGAUGGCUAAUACCGCAUAUUCUCACUUAGGUGAGGAAAGGUCUUCGGACCUGCUUGCAGAGAGGCCUGCGGCCUAUCAGGUAGUUGGUGGGGUAAUGGCCUACCAAGCCGAAGACGGGUAGCUGACCUGAGAGGGUGGUCAGCCACAGGGGAACUGAGACACGGUCCCCACUCCUACGGGAGGCAGCAGUGAGGAAUAUUGCACAAUGGGGGAAACCCUGAUGCAGCAAUGCCGCGUGUAGGAUGAAGCCUUUAGGGGUGUAAACUACUUUUAAGAGGGAGCAGACAAGGAGCGUACCUCUUGAAUAAGUCACGGCU